UACGUAGGGGGCUAGCGUUGUCCGGAUUUAUUGGGCGUAAAGAGCGUGUAGGCGGCCUUACAGGUCAGCUGUGAAAACUCGAGGCUCAACCUCGAGACGUCGGUUGAAACCGUAUGGCUAGAGUCCGGAAGAGGAGAGUGGAAUUCCCGGUGUAGCGGUGAAAUGCGCAGAUAUCGGGAAGAACACCCGUGGCGAAGGCGGCUCACUGGCCCGGUACUGACGCUGAGGCGCGAAAGCGUGGGGAGCAAACAGG
rnacentral:rRNA from 1 species